AGAGUUUGAUCAUGGCUCAGGACGAACGCUGGCGGCGUGCUUUAUACAUGCAAGUCGAACGAUGAAGUUCCUUCGGGAAUGGAUUAGUGGCGAACGGGUGAGGAACACGUGAGAAACCUGCCUUUCAUUCUGGGAUAACACCGGGAAACCGGUGCUAAUACCGGAUACUCCAUCUUGGCGGCAUCGCCGAGCUGGGAAAAAAUUUUGAUGAAAGAUGGUCUCGCGGCCUAUCAGCUAGUUGGUGAGGUAAAGGCUCACCAAGGCGACGACGGGUAGCCGGCCUGAGAGGGCGACCGGCCACACUGGGACUGAGACACGGCCCAGACUCCUACGGGAGGCAGCAGUAGGGAAUAUUGGGCAAUGGGCGAAAGCCUGACCCAGCGACGCCGCGUGAGGGAUGAAGGUCUUCGGAUUGUAAACCUCUUUCAGUAGGGAAGAAGCGAAAGUGACGGUACCUAAAGAAGAAGCACCGGCUAACUAUGUGCCAGCAGCCGCGGUAAUACAUAGGGUGCAAGCGUUGUCCGGAAUUAUUGGGCGUAAAGAGCUCGUAGGUCGUUUGUCGCGUCGAUUGUGAAAAUCUGAGGCUCAACCUCAGACCUGCAGUCGAUACGGGCAAACUAGAGUGUGGUAGGGGAGACUGGAAUUCCUGGUGUAGCGGUGGAAUGCGCAGAUAUCAGGAGGAACACCAAUGGCGAAGGCAGGUCUCUGGGCCAUAACUGACACUGAGGAGCGAAAGUGCGGGGAGCGAACAGGAUUAGAUACCCUGGUGGUCCGCACCGUAAACGGUGGGCACUAGUUGU
rnacentral:rRNA from 1 species